rnacentral:rRNA from 1 species
AUGCAACGACGCACAUUUGCCUUUAUAGUAGCUAUGGCUGGUGAUAUGGUUCCCUGUCAGCUAUUUAUGUCCAAAACUUUCUGUAACUGUAUGCUGUCUUAUUCACUCUUAUUCUCCAUGUCAACCCCCAAAAAGGAUGAGCUAUGUAAUAAAGCCAUAAAGAUUUGGAGACCCUGUAUUCCAAUAGCUAUAUUAGAAGCCUUAGUUUAUGUAAGGGAAAAGCCUCUUUGUUUGCUGACACGAAUUGUGUUCCCCCUCCAGGUCCCAAAAGCACAGAGAAUUACAUUUGCAAAUUUUUGGAAAAAGAAACAGUUUUGUAGAUGUACCUGUAGUCCUGUACAAAAGUAUGUGUACAAAAAUGCAUGCCUAUGCACUAGUUUUUGUUAG